rnacentral:tRNA from 1 species
GCCGUUGUGGUGUAGUGGUCAGCACGCUAGACACGCAUUGGAAAGGUCCGUGGUUCAAGUCCCGGCGAGGGCA